AUAUUGGGACGUACCGAGUAAUGGGGGAUAACUAUCCGAAAGGAUAGCUAAUACCGCAUACGCUUUGAGAAGGAAAGCAGGGGAUCUUCGGACCUUGCGUUAUUCGAGCGGCCAAUAACUGAUUAGCUAGUUGGUGGGGUAAGGGCCCACCAAGGCGACGAUCAGUAGCGGGUCUGAGAGGAUGAUCCGCCACACUGGGACUGAGACACGGCCCAGACUCCUACGGGAGGCAGCAGUGGGGAAUUUUGGACAAUGGGCGAAAGCCUGAUCCAGCCAUGCCGCGUGUCUGAAGAAGGCCUUCGGGUUGUAAAGGACUUUUGUUAGGGAAGAAAAGGUUGAUGCUAAUAUCAUUAACUGAUGACGGUACCUAAAGAAUAAGCACCGGCUAACUACGUGCCAGCAGCCGCGGUAAUACGU
rnacentral:rRNA from 1 species